GCGGCUAUGGCGGAAUUGGCAGACGCGCUACCUUGAGGUGGUAGUGGGAUAGUAUCCCGUGAAGGUUCGAAUCCUUUUAGCCGCACCA
rnacentral:tRNA from 5 species